rnacentral:snRNA from 1 species
UUCGGCGCAAGUGAAAUA